rnacentral:rRNA from 1 species
GGAAUAUUCCACAAUGGGCGAAAGCCUGAUGGAGCGACGCCGCGUGAGUGAAGAAGGGCUUCGGCUCGUAAAGCUCUUUUCUCAUUGACGAAUUAGUCUUCGGGACAGUUGACGGUAGAUGGGGAAUAAGCCACGGCUAACUACGUGCCAGCAGCCGCGGUAAUACGUAGGUGGCAAGCGUUAUCCGGAUUUAUUGGGCGUAAAGCGAGCGCAGGCGGUUUCUUAAGUCUGAUGUGAAAGCCUUCGGCUUAACCGAAGAAGUGCAUCGGAAACUGGGAAACUUGAGUGCAGAAGAGGACAGUGGAACUCCAUGUGUAGCGGUGAAAUGCGUAGAUAUAUGGAAGAACACCAGUGGCGAAGGCGGCUGUCUGGUCUGUAACUGACGCUGAGGCUCGAAAGCAUGGGUAGCGAACA